AGGCAGAGCCCUUGGGUAUCUCCACAGCAAGAGGAAAUUCUAACAUCAUGAUCUGGGAACCAGAUAAGUGCAACCUGUCUUGAUGCGACAGCAUCCCUUUCAGUUACCAGGUUACAGUGUCUGAAAACCCUUUGCCAACUCUCUUCACCCAGGUAAUCUCUUAAUUUGUUGAGGAAGAGGGUUGUUCUUGUGGGUUUUUUUCUUUUUUUCUUUUCCCAAAGGGAGGAUUGUUUUGUGUUAUGCUUGACAAACCCUCCUCAAGGUGAUGGAACAAGGCCCCAGACUGUCUGCACAGCCUGGCCGCUUCUGUUUAUGUGUGCAAAAUGUGCACCUAAUUUGGAUUCCAGAUUAGCCUGUCCCUAUCCCCACCGCUUCCCAGCUGCAGGAGGGUGGCUGCAAACUGCAGCCUUUUGCUCCUGGCAGUGCUGGCAUUGUCACUGCACAGACCUUCCCCACCAAAAAAAAAAAAAAAAAAAAAAAAAAGAACUAGUCCCAUCUUUAAUUAUUUGUAUUUCUUUUGAAGGAGGUUGUAUCUGUUGUACCAUUUGAAUUAGCAGACCCUGGUGCCUCUGCCUUGCCGAGGCAAGGCCCUCAGCCCCAGCUGCAAUGCAAUCUAGCACAGCUGGGCCUGCUGGGCAGCACUUCGGUGGGGCAGGCACAGCUGCACUGAGUUUGGGGCUUUUUGGGGGUGGCUGUGGGGUACUUGUGCAGCCAGCACAUGGAGUAUGUUGGGAGAACAAGUCACUUUGGUACUGUUUCCUUGCUGAAUGUGGUGAACUGAACUACAAACAUACUUUCUCAAACCUCAGAAAAGAUAACCACCUGUCUGCAGGUUUGGCCUGCGUUACUCCUGCAUCUGAGCCUCCUGCAAGCUGUUUUUGUGUGAGACCUGAUCCCCAAACAUGUUGUGUGCACAUCUUGCAGCCUGCCUCUGCAGGCGAGCUCGAUGGGGAGCGCGUUGCCUUGCUGGUGAGGCCUGUUGUGGUUUCGGCACGGACAGAGCACAUAGCUGCCCAGUGCUGUCAGGGUCUCAGCAGCCCCACGUUUGCCUCACAGCAGACAUUUAGGUACCCAGAGAACUUGUGCUUCAACUGGAAAAAAGCUCAUGUGCCCAAGGCCUCUCGAUGGAAGCGAGGCUGCAGCUGA
rnacentral:lncRNA from 1 species